rnacentral:rRNA from 1 species
AGAGUUUGAUCCUGGCUCAGGACGAACGCUGGCGGCGUGCUUAACACAUGCAAGUCGAACGGAAAGGCCCUUUUUUGGGGUGCUCGAGUGGCGAACGGGUGAGUAACACGUGGGUGACCUGCCCUGCACUUCGGGAUAAGCCUGGGAAACUGGGUCUAAUACCGGAUAGGACCAUUCUGCGCAUGUGGGGUGGUGGAAAGCGUUUGGUAGCGGUGUGGGAUGGGCCCGCGGCCUAUCAGCUUGUUGGUGGGGUGAUGGCCUACCAAGGCGACGACGGGUAGCCGGCCUGAGAGGGUGUCCGGCCACACUGGGACUGAGAUACGGCCCAGACUCCUACGGGAGGCAGCAGUGGGGAAUAUUGCACAAUGGGCGCAAGCCUGAUGCAGCGACGCCGCGUGGGGAUGACGGCCUUCGGGUUGUAAACCUCUUUCAGCCUCGACGAAGCUGCGGGUUUUCUCGUGGUGACGGUAGGGGCAGAAGAAGCACCGGCCAACUACGUGCCAGCAGCCGCGGUAAUACGUAGGGUGCAAGCGUUGUCCGGAAUUACUGGGCGUAAAGAGCUCGUAGGCGGCUUGUCGCGUUGUUCGUGGAAUGCCACAGCUUAACUGUGGGCGUGCGGGCGAUACGGGCAGGCUGGAGUGCUGCAGGGGAGACUGGAAUUCCUGGUGUAGCGGUGGAAUGCGCAGAUAUCAGGAGGAACACCGGUGGCGAAGGCGGGUCUCUGGGCAGUAACUGACGCUGAGGAGCGAAAGCGUGGGGAGCGAACAGGAUUAGAUACCCUGGUAGUCCACGCCGUAAACGGUGGGUACUAGGUGUGGGUUCUUUCCUGAAGGAUCCGUGCCGUAGCUAACGCAUUAAGUACCCCGCCUGGGGAGUACGGCCGCAAGGCUAAAACUCAAAGGAAUUGACGGGGCCCGCACAAGCGGCGGAGCAUGUGGAUUAAUUCGAUGCAACGCGAAGAACCUGAGCAAUUGUCAAUAUCUGUGGAUGGAGAAUUUCAGGCGGCCUCCUUCCGGGCUUCCUCGGUGGCCGGUUCGUCGGUGCGUUCGAGGAGUUUGCCGUUCUCGAACUUGGCGCCGGCCCGGACGAGGGCGACCAGGUGGGGUGCGUUCACCGCGCGCCAGCGUGACUGGGCGGCCUCGAUUAGCUUGUAGGCCACGGCGAUUCCCGCCGCGCGUGAGCCCGGACCCUUGGUGAUCUUGCUUCGAUUACGCACCGUUGAGAAGGUGGAUUCGAUGGGAUUUGUCGUUCUCAGGUGCACCCAAUGCUCGGCGGGGAAGUCGUAGAAGGCCAGCAGCUGGUCGAGGUCGUCGGUGAUUUUGGCGACCGCCUUGGGAUACUUGGCGCCGUAGGCCGCCUCGAAUGCCUUGACCGCGUUCAGCGCGUGGCGUUUGUCCUCGGCGUUCCAGAUCUCUGCGAGCGCCUUCUUCGCGCCGGGGUGCGCGGAUUUCGGCAGUGCGGCAAGAACAUUCGCAAUCUUAUGAAACCAGCAGCGCUGUUCCUUGGUCUCCGGGAACACCUCGCGCAGCGCGCCCCAGAACCCCAGUGCGCCAUCCCCGAUGGCCAGUACCGGCGCGCGCAUGCCGCGCCGCUUGCAGUCACGCAACAGAUCCGCCCACGACUCGGUGGCCUCGCGGUAGCCGUCAUCGAGGGCGAUCAGCUCUUUGCGGCCAUCCGCGCGCACCCCGAUCAGCACCAGCAGGCACAGCUUGGUCUCCUCCAGGCGCACGUUGACGUGGAUGCCGUCGGCCCACACGUACACAUAGUCCACACCCGAGAGGUCGCGGGCCGAAAACGCCUUCUGCUCGGCUUGCCAGGUCUGGGUCAGCUUGGUGAUCGUGGCCGCCGACAGGCCCUUGGUCGAGCCCAGAAACUGGCCCAGCGCCGGCCCGAAGUCCUGCGACGAGAGCCCAUGCAGGUACAGCAGCGGCAGCACCUGCUCCACCUGCGGGUCUUGCGCGCCCACGGCGGCAGGAUCGCCGAGGAAAACCGCACCCGCUCACCGGUUUCCGGGUCAACCCGCUUAUCGUUGACCCGCGGCGCGUGCACCUCGAUCGCACCCGCGGCGGUGGUCACCUCACGCGGCUCGUGAUAGCCGUUGCGCACCACCAGCCGAUGCCCGUUCUCGUCGCGCUCAUCGGCGAACUGGGCACAAUAGGCGGCCACCUCGGCCCGCAACGCCGCGGCCAGCAUCUGCUGCGCACCCUCGCGCACGAUCUCAUCGAUCACCGACGACACCGGCCCGCCAACACGACAGGCGCAGCCGAACCAUCACGAUCGCCGGCCUCAGGGACUACAUUGAGCAUGGGUCGUACCUUCCCGAACCAGCGCGUCAACGCCGGUCCUUGAUCAGACAAAUGGACUUCAGAUCAUCCUCGGGAAGGUGCGCCCAAUCACGCCGCCUCGCCGAGGCUCAUCCACAGGUUCUGAUCAUUGCUCGAAGAACCUUACCUGGGUUUGACAUGCACAGGACGGUCGUAGAGAUACGGCUUCCCUUGUGGCCUGUGUGCAGGUGGUGCAUGGCUGUCGUCAGCUCGUGUCGUGAGAUGUUGGGUUAAGUCCCGCAACGAGCGCAACCCUUGUCCCAUGUUGCCAGCACGUGAUGGUGGGGACUCAUGGGAGACUGCCGGGGUCAACUCGGAGGAAGGUGGGGAUGACGUCAAGUCAUCAUGCCCCUUAUGUCCAGGGCUUCACACAUGCUACAAUGGCCGGUACAAAGGGCUGCGAUGCCGUGAGGUUAAGCGAAUCCUUGGAAAGCCGGUCUCAGUUCGGAUCGGGGUCUGCAACUCGACCCCGUGAAGUCGGAGUCGCUAGUAAUCGCAGAUCAGCAAUGCUGCGGUGAAUACGUUCCCGGGCCUUGUACACACCGCCCGUCACGUCAUGAAAGUCGGUAACACCCGAAGCCGCUGGCCUAACCCCGUUUGGGGAGGGAGGCGUCGAAGGUGGGAUCGGCGAUUGGGACGAAGUCGUAACAAGGUAGCCGUACCGGAAGGUGCGGCUGGAUCACCU